GCAAACUUGGUCAUUUAGAGGAAGUAAAAGUCGUAACAAGGUCUCCGUAGGUGAACCUGCGGAGGGAUCAUUACAGACCUAGCGCCCACAGGGUGCGCGCCCCCCUACCCCUUGCCAUCGCUACGAUCGUUGCUUCGGCGGGCGUCAUGCCCGCCGGAGGCCCCAUAGACCCGCGUAUGUUAGCGUUGUCCGAGACCACUCAAAUCAUUAAAACUUUCAACAACGGAUCUCUUGGUUCCGGCAUCGAUGAAGAACGCAGC
rnacentral:misc_RNA from 1 species